rnacentral:rRNA from 1 species
UGCAAGUCGAGCGGGGGGAGGAGCUUCGGCUCCGAACCUAGCGGCGAACGGUCGAGUAACACGUAAGCAACCUGCCCCGAAGACCGGGAUAACAGCUCGAAAGGGCUGCUAAUACCGGAUGUGCCCACGCAGAGGCAUCUCUGCGUGAGUAAAACCCGCAAGGGGCUUCGGGAGGGGCUUGCGGCCCAUCAGCUAGUUGGUAGGGUAACGGCCUACCAAGGCGGCGACGGGUAGCUGGUCUGAGAGGACGGCCAGCCGGACUGGGACUGAGACACGGCCCAGACUCCUACGGGAGGCAGCAGUCGGGAGUCUUGCACAAUGGGGGAAACCCUGAUGCAGCGACGCCGCGUGCGGGAUGAAGUCCUUCGGGACGUAAACCGCUUUUGUCCGGGAAGAAGUUCUGACGGUACCGGACGAAUAAGCCCCGGCUAACUACGUGCCAGCAGCCGCGGUAAAACGUAGGGGGCGAGCGUUGCCCGGAUUUACUGGGCGUAAAGCGCGCGUAGGCGGCUGCGUAAGUGGGGAGUUAAAGCCCUCGGCUCAACCGAGGAAAUGCUCCUCAAACUGCGCGGCUUGAGUGUAGGAGAGGGGAGUG